GAGAAACAGAAUGAGGUGAUGACGAUGUCUAAAUUUUUUUUAUUUUUUGAGAUGGAGUCUCACUCUCACCCAGGCUGGAGGGCAGUGGAGCCAUCUCAGCUCACUGCAACCUCUAUCUCCCGGGUUCAAGGGAUUCUCCUGCCUGAGCCUCCCGAGUAGCUGAAGUUACAGACGCGCACUACCAUGCCUGGCUAAUUUUUGUAUUGUUAGUAGGGACGGUUUCAUCCAUGUUGGCCAGGCUAGUCUCAAACUCCUGACCUCAAGUGAUCCACGCACCUCGGCCUCCCAAAAUGCUGGGAUUAUAGGCUUGAGCCACCGCGCCAGGCCCUGGCCUGAUCUUUAAACACAGUGUUGUCUUGAGGAUGGCAGGAAUCAAAGUCCCCAGGUUAGCCUUUCUUCCGCUUUGUUCUAUUGGGUCAAACUUUAAAAAGAGAGAUACCCCUUCUGGCCAUUUGGGGCAGGGGUGUGGGGACAGAGAGGUGUGGAGGAGAGAAUAUAUUGAAAGACAAGGCCUCCGAGACAGCUGAAGCCCAGUGACUGGCUACCGGGCUCUGUCUUGCUGCCGACCGGCCAGCAGAAGGCUGGGGGAGAGCGGCGUAAACAGAGGCAUCUGGUCCCCCAGCAUGGAGCAGCGGGUCCGUGAACCGUGGCAGAUGCAGCCUCAGCUGUGAUUGGGCACGAGGCCUCGGUGUCCAAGCCUGGGUCACGCGCGGGGCCCAUUUUAACUGUGACAGUGCAGUGUCAAACUGCCAUUCUUUCUUUCUCAUGCGUUUUUUUUGCCUCUGAAAUCUGCCAGCUCGCGGAAGCAGCCUAGACGUCGGCCCCUCGGGUUCCCAGGCUGGAGGAGGCAUGCGGGGGAACAAGCAAAGGAAGAGGCUGAUCUCUGCACUUUCCAAAAGCUGCUGUUCUGGGACCUGGCAGAAAAUUGGAGUUCAUGGAUUCCAAGCAGGCAUAAUGGCUCUCUGCAAGACCAAGUAUGUACAAACAUACCUUGAGCAGCUCUGCAAGCCUGAUGCCUCACGAGUGGGUACCCAGGCUUCAUAACUGCUGAAAAUCAUGGUGUGGAUUAUCAGCACAAUGAUAGUGUGGCGGUGAAUGCUUGUAGUCUCAGCUAUAGGGAGGCUGAGGCGGGAGGUUGGCUUGAGUCCAGGA
rnacentral:lncRNA from 13 species